AGUGAACGCUGGCGGUAGGCCUAACACAUGCAAGUCGAACGGCAGCACAGUAAGAGCUUGCUCUUACGGGUGGCGAGUGGCGGACGGGUGAGGAGUACAUCGGAAUCUACUUUUUCGUGGGGGAUAACGUAGGGAAACUUACGCUAAUACCGCAUACUACCUACGGGUGAAAGCAGGGGAUCUUCGGACCUUGCGCGAUUGAAUGAGCCGAUGUCGGAUUAGCUAGUUGGCGGGGUAAAGGCCCACCAAGGCGACGAUCCGUAGCUGGUCUGAGAGGAUGAUCAGCCACACUGGAACUGAGACACGGUCCAGACUCCUACGGGAGGCAGCAGUGGGGAAUAUUGGACAAUGGGCGCAAGCCUGAUCCAGCCAUACCGCGUGGGUGAAGAAGGCCUUCGGGUUGUAAAGCCCUUUUGUUGGGAAAGAAAAGCAGCAGGUUAAUACCCCGCUGUUCUGACGGUACCCAAAGAAUAAGCACCGGCUAACUUCGUG
rnacentral:rRNA from 1 species